rnacentral:ribozyme from 2 species
CUUUUAAUACAGCUGGUGUAAGCCAAAGGUCACAAGCCCUUGUAAAUUGUAGAGUGAAGU